GACGAACGCUGGCGGCGUGCUUAACACAUGCAAGUCGAACGGGCUCUGUCUGGCUGUGUGCUGGGUGGGGUUAGUGGCGAACGGGUGAGUAAUACGUGAGUAACCUGCCCUCUUCUUUGGGAUAAGCCUUGGAAACGGGGUCUAAUACUGGAUAUUCCUGUCUGGUCGCAUGGCUGGGUGGGGAAAGUUUUUUUCGGUGGGGGAUGGGCUCGCGGCCUAUCAGCUUGUUGGUGGGGUGAUGGCCUACCAAGGCGUCGACGGGUAGCCGGCCUGAGAGGGUGACCGGCCCCACUGGGCCUGUGAUACGGCCCAGACUCCUACGGGCGGCAGCAGUGGGGGAUAUUGCACAAUGGGCGCAAGCCUGAUGCAGCGACGCCGCGUGGGGGAUGACGGCUUUCGGGUUGUAAACCUCUUUCGUCGGGGGACAAGGCUCUGCUUGGUGGUGGGGUUGAGGGUACCCGGUGAAGAAGCGCCGGCUAACUACGUG
rnacentral:rRNA from 1 species